GCGUCGGUAGUGCAAUGGUUAGGAUACGUCCCCGGAAAGAGUAAGAUCUGGUUUCGAGUCCUGGCUGACGCA